AGUGUGAAAACAGGUUUCUUCUUGAUUCGUCACUAUCAUAUUGUUGAAGUGUGAAGAACGGUCUUUGGUUAACUUCUUUUUUAUUGGACAAUGUGGAUGGAAGGUUAUCCUUCAAUAGCCUGAAUUAAUCGAGGAAAAAGAUUGGAUACUGGUUAGCUGUUUUGAUGGGCGGAUCGUAGAAUUGUUGUGUUCUUUAAUUACUAGCCUCUUGGAAUUAUUGUAGAUUAUCUCUGUGCGGAAUUCUUGUUUCGUGUUGAUUUACUAAAACCUUUUUGAAAAUCAUUACUGUCAAAAUCUUUGCCUUGUAUUCUUACUGGGAAUUGCUUCUAUUGGCUGUCUUAACUUGAAUUUUGGGCUUCCUUUGUUUUCAUCCCCAUCGAUCUUGAUUGCUUCUACUGUUAUCUAGGUUUAAUUUUUACUCUGUAUUAAUGUUGAUUGCUCAUUGCCUUUUUGAAUUGAUUCUCAGUUUUUAGUUUCUAAAGGUGGCCUAACUAUGGACUUGACUUUGACUAGAGAUUCAAUUUGCCUGCCCAACUGAGUCUUUGUUUGGGAUCGCUUGAGGCUGGUGUCGCGGCCUCACUCGCUUCUAUGUUUGACCCCCCCCCCCCUUUUGUGGGCUUCCAAGACUUUGUAAAAAAUUUUUGCCUUUUAUGAUCUUGAUUUGCUGUUGUUCGGCCUCCUUAUGUCUCAAUUUGUUGAUCAGUGCUUAUUUAAAACUAAAUUGUUGUG
rnacentral:lncRNA from 1 species